GCAGUCGACGGCAGCGCGGGGCAACCUGGCGGCGAGUGGCGAACGGGUGAGUAAUACAUCGGAACGUACCCAGAAGUGGGGGAUAACGUAGCGAAAGUUACGCUAAUACCGCAUACGUUCUACGGAAGAAGGUGGGGGAUCUUCGGACCUCAUGCUUUUGGAGCGGCCGAUGUCUGAUUAGCUAGUUGGUGAGGUAAAGGCUCACCAAGGCGACGAUCAGUAGCUGGUCUGAGAGGACGACCAGCCACACUGGGACUGAGACACGGCCCAGACUCCUACGGGAGGCAGCAGUGGGGAAUUCUGGACAAUGGGCGCAAGCCUGAUCCAGCAAUGCCGCGUGAGUGAAGAAGGCCUUCGGGUUGUAAAGCUCUUUUGUCAGGGAAGAAACGGGCUUGGAUAAUACCUGAGCCUAAUGACGGUACCUGAGGAAUAAGCACCGGCUAACUACGUGCCAGCAGCCGCGGUAAUACGUAGGGUGCAAGCGUUAAUCGGAAUUACUGGGCGUAAAGCGUGCGCAGGCGGUUUUGUAAGUCUGUCGUGAAAGCCCCGGGCUCAACCUGGGAAUUGCGAUGGAGACUGCAAGGCUUGAAUCUGGCAGAGGGGGGUAGAAUUCCACGUGUAGCAGUGAAAUGCGUAGAGAUGUGGAGGAACACCGAUGGC
rnacentral:rRNA from 1 species